UACGGAGGGUGCAAGCAUUGAUCGGAAUUACUGGGCGUAAAGGGCGCGUAGGCGGCCGAGAAAGUCAGAUGUGAAAUUCCGGGGCUCAACCCCGGAGCUGCAUUUGAAACUUCUUGGCUAGAGUGCAAUUAGGGAAAACGGAAUUCCACGUGUAGCGGUGAAAUGCGUAGAUAUGUGGAAGAACACCGGUGGUGAAGACGGUUUUCUGGGUUGUAACUGACGCUGAGGCGCGAAAGCUAGGGGAGCAAACAGG
rnacentral:rRNA from 1 species